rnacentral:lncRNA from 1 species
UUUUUAUUUACUUAUCAUUAUCACUUUGUUCAUGCUCUGUUCUCACUUCACAGCUUCAAACUAGGAACAUUUUAAAACUUGCAGGUGUCCUUAAAAAUUACACACUAUUGAGAAAGCUUAUGGCUUUUAAGCAUUUACACUAGUGGUUCCAGUGAAACCUGCUGUAAUUGAUCGAUCAGUUGCACAUUCACAGCUUGUUUAAGCUGAAAUUCUAUUUCCAUGAUACAUUUUUCUGCAAAGGACUUUCUGCAAAAUCCCUUCUGGAGCUGGUUUCCUUUAUUCCCGUGGGACGUGCUGCAGUGCCAGAGGAAGGAGCACCGCGCCUGUCCCUGCACGGUCCCCACCUCUUCCCUUUCGCUCCCUGAUGCUGCCUUCCAAGCCUUUCUUGGCCUGGCUGUCAUUACAGCACCCCAAAAAGAGCGUGUGUUUAAUAACACUUCCAACAACUUCUGGAAAGGAGCCUCCGAGUUAUUGGACCUGUGAGAAGGCAAUAAUCGACAACGAACAAGUUGGUGGGCUGUACACAUCUGUGUACUCUGCCUUGGAAAAUAAAGGCUGUUGCCAUGGCAACUGCCACAAGCUGGGCCCGUACAUUAGUUAUGGUGAGACUGGGGCGUUGAGUGCAGGCCCCGGCCCCGCCUGUGUGCUGGGCCUGCGCUGUGCCCAGGGGCCAGGCCUGACCGCUGGCGCUGUGCGGCCGCAGCGGCCUUGUCUCACCUGGGGAGCAAAUAAAAAAAAGUGUGAGAGUACCCCCGUAAACGAGCAGCCCAGCUGUAAAACAAACUGUGCAGAAAUUGCAACCGAGCUGAUGAUGAUCUUGGGAUCUUCUUACCAGAAGAACUGGUUGGACUUACUCUCAGAAGAGCAGCGUUGA